GCCUAGUUAGCUUAGUUGGUAGUGCGUCUGCCUUGUAAGCGCUAGGCCGCGGGUUCGAUUCCCGCCCGGAGCU
rnacentral:tRNA from 1 species